rnacentral:rRNA from 1 species
AACGAACGCUGGCGGCAGGCUUAACACAUGCAAGUCGAGCGCCCCGCAAGGGGAGCGGCAGACGGGUGAGUAACGCGUGGGAAUCUACCCAUCUCUACGGAAUAACACAUGGAAACGUGUGCUAAUACCGUAUACGUCCUUCGGGAGAAAGAUUUAUCGGAGAUGGAUGAGCGCGCGUUGGAUUAGCUAGUUGGUGGGGUAAAGGCCUACCAAGGCGACGAUCCAUAGCUGGUCUGAGAGGAUGAUAAGACACACUGGGACUGAGACACGGCCCAGACUCCUACGGGAGGCAGCAGUGGUGAAUAUUGGACAAUGGGCGCAAGCCUGAUCCAGCCAUGCCGCGUGAGUGAUGAAGGCCCUAGGGUUGUAAAGCUCUUUCACCGGUGAAGAUAAUGACGGUAACCGGAGAAGAAGCCCCGGCUAACUUCGUGCCAGCCGCCGCCGUAAUAC